rnacentral:rRNA from 1 species
UACGGAGGAUCCAAGCGUUAUCCGGAAUCAUUGGGUUUAAAGGGUCCGUAGGCGGUCUUAUAAGUCAGUGGUGAAAUCUCCCCGCUCAACGGGGAAACGGCCAUUGAUACUGUAAGACUUGAAUUAUUAGGAAGUAACUAGAAUAUGUAGUGUAGCGGUGAAAUGCUUAGAGAUUACAUGGAAUACCAAUUGCGAAGGCAGGUUACUACUAAUGGAUUGACGCUGAUGGACGAAAGCGUGGGUAGCGAACAGGAUUAGAUACCCUGGUAGUCCACGCCGUAAACGAUGGAUACUAGCUGUUGGAGGUAACUUCAGUGGCUAAGCGAAAGUGAUAAGUAUCCCACCUGGGGAGUACGAACGCAAGUUUGAA